GACAGAGGGUGCAAACGUUGCUCGGAAUUACUGGGCGUAAAGCGCGUGUAGGUGGUUUGGCAAGUCGGACGUGAAAGCCCAGGGCUCAACCCUGGAAGUGCAUUCGAUACUACCAAGCUGGAGUACUGAAGAGGAGAGCGGAAUUCCCGGUGUAGAGGUGAAAUUCGUAGAUAUCGGGAGGAACACCAGUGGCGAAGGCGGCUCUCUGGGCAGAUACUGACACUGAGGCGCGAAAGCGUGGGGAGCAAACAGGG
rnacentral:rRNA from 1 species